CUAGCAAACCCUUUGUUAUCUUGGCUCUCUCUCUCCAUCGACAGGAAUCUACCGAUGCAGCUCAUCCCUUCAGGCCCAGCUUAAACACCACUGUAUCCAUUUGCCAAGAAAUCACCACAUGUGGAUAUGAUGAAGUUUCUCCAAGUUGUUUGAAAUCUUAGACCUUUAAUGUCAUGUGACAGUCCCAUGAAGGUUUUUAUAAAGGAUCAGCCGCUUUUCCAUCUUCUUUAGACCAUAAAUUGAUGCCUUCAUUCAAGAACAGAAUAUUCUAGAUUUGGGUGAUUCACAACAAAAAAGAGACUGAAAAGCAAUUACAAUAAUUGAAUAAGAUGCUUACAUGAUUUUUGCUGCAUUUGCCACCCAAGGCACAUAAUGAGCCAAGGAGGCGACUGCCUAGCAUUUGGUUGGACUGCCAUGGUAUCAGGAAGAUGCAGAUAAAUUGGAAGAAGUCUAGAGGAGAUCGGCUAACACAAUGGAAGGAAGGGAAAUUGAAGCAGUGGUACAGGAAAUGCUUCACUGAGCAGCCAGUCAGCUGGAAGAGAGUGGGCUCUGGGAUGUCUACGAGCAUUUUCAAACUGAAACAAAAUGAGCAGCAAGUUGCCAGAUGCAUCUUCCCCUUCCUCGCCGUCAUACUCCCUUUGAAAUCAGCCAGCCGCUCACCUGGAUAG
rnacentral:lncRNA from 1 species